GAUGAACGCUAGCGGCAGGCCUAAUACAUGCAAGUCGAACGAGAUUAAGAGGCUUGCUUCUUAUGAAAGUGGCGCACGGGUGCGUAACGCGUAUGCAACCUACCUUAAUCAGGGGGAUAGCCCGAAGAAAUCCGGAUUAAGACCGCAUAAAAACACAGGAUAGCAUUAUCCAAUGUUCAAAUAUUUAUAGGAUUAAGAUGGGCAUGCGUGUCAUUAGCUAGUUGGCGGGGUAACGGCCCACCAAGGCGACGAUGACUAGGGGAUCUGAGAGGAUGACCCCCCACACUGGUACUGAGACACGGACCAGACUCCUACGGGAGGCAGCAGUAAGGAAUAGUGGUCAAGGGAGGGAACUCUGAACCAGCCAUGCCGCGUGCAGGAAGACAGCCCUCUGGGUCGUAAACUGCUUUUAUUCGGGAAUAAACCUUUCUACGUGUAGGAAGCUGAAUGUACCGAAGGAAUAAGGAUCGGCUAACUCCGUG
rnacentral:rRNA from 1 species